rnacentral:misc_RNA from 1 species
CAGCUAACCACGGUAUCCGCAGCGAGUGGGGUGAAGUCGUAACAAGGUAGCCGUACGCGACUUCCGGUUGGAUCACCUCCUUUCUCAGGAAGCUGUGUUACCGGUAAGACGCCUCGGACAUGUCUUCGACUUGUUGUAGGCGAUGAACCUUCCCCGUGCUUUUUUAGUUACAUAGAUGGCGCCGGUCAGGCGUACAAUGAAAACGUAAUACGCCGCGUAGACUACGGGUCACGACGGUAUGGCGAGCUUUUCGCCGUCCACGUUUCUCUUUUCUUUCAAAAGGAUAUCGAAACCAUUGGUUUGGCGCUCACGCCGUGGUUCGCACCCUUUCGGGCUUGGCGCUCCGCGGGGGCCCCCGGGACGACCCGGGAAGGCCCUCUGGCCCUUUAUGGGGUGAUCCUUUCCCAGGUUUUUUGCUUUGGAAUGGGCCCUGCCCAGAGAGAUGGGCCCGAAGCCUAGGUGGUUAGAAAAAACCCUUUAAAGGGGGGGGGCCGGAAUUUCAAGUUUUCCCGGGCCCCCCAUUUCCGGGGGCAAAAAGAUUUGCCGGGGCCAAAGGGGUUUGUUUGGGUUACCCGGACCCGGAGGUUUGAUUUCAGGGUUUUUCAAAGGUUGGGGCUGGGCCCAACUGGGAAAACCCCUCUUUUGAAGGGGGGGGCCAGCUUUCGAUCCCCCCCAGCUCCCCCAAUUUUUGCCCUAACGUUCGCCUCUUCGGGCCCUGCCCCCGAAGGCCAGCCAAAAAAGGCCGAGGGCUCUGGUUGUUUUUGGGGGCCAUUGCUGGGGUAAAGAAUACUCUUUAGAAGAAAAAAAAGUUGUAUGCGUUUAGACAAAGCUCUGCCCCCGAACUUGCAAAGAGAGAUGCCCGGGGCUUCAGGUUUGGGGUUCUGGCCCAGGGCGCCAGCACAGUCCUUGUAAACCAUUGAAGGCCUAGCGGCCGAUGUGUGGAGGACUGAGGUGUAGAGCUUGUCACUCUG